rnacentral:ncRNA from 1 species
UAGAGUUUUAUUCUUGCUUUUAUCAUUCAUUUUUUAUUUGUUCUAUAUGUAAAUUUGUGUGUGGGUGCCGCUUGUGUGUUCUAGAUGAAUCACGAAGGGAUUAAUAAGAUAUUUCUCAUUAGUUAUUAUUAGUUGUUCAAGUAUUUUUGUAUCUAGCAAUAUGUUUAGUUUCGGUUAAAUUUUGUGCCAGCAGCCGCGGUUAUACUUUGGAAGCAUUUGAAUGUGUUUGGCAUUAAAGAUAGUUAUAUUAUUUGUUUUGUGGAUUUGUUUGUAUUAGUUUUAGGUGAAAUUUUUUAUUGUUUUGUCUAUCUAUUAUAUAAUUGGAGGCUAUGAAAUUUUGUGUUUAAACUAGGAUUAGAUACCCUAUUAUUUUGGAAUGUUAAUUUUAUGUGCCUGAGUAGUAUUAGUUAAGUUCUUGAAACUUAAAGAAUUUGGCGGUAUCUCAUUCCGUUCAGAGGAAUCUGUCUCGUUAUCGAUAGUCCGCGUUGGACCUUACUUAGUUGAUUUGGUUUGUAUACCGCCGUUUGGUUGAUUAUCUUUUUAGGGGUUAUUUAAAAUUUUCUGGUUUCUUUAUUUUGAUGUAUUUCAGGUCAAGGUGCAGCUUGUUUCUAAGUGGAAUGAUGGGUUACAUUGUUAUUUGUUUGUUUGGAUUGUUGAUUUUAAUAUUGGUAUGAAAUUGGAUUUGGUUGUAAUAAUUUGUAGAUUGUUAUUAUGAUAAUUGGUUCUGAGAUAUGCACACAUCGCCCGUCGCUCUCGUUUCUACUAUGAUGAGAUAAGUCGUAACAAAGUGGUUGUACCGGAAGGUGCAGCUGGAUUGAU